rnacentral:rRNA from 1 species
UGGGGAAUUUUGGACAAUGGGCGAAAGCCUGAUCCAGCAAUGCCGCGUGUGUGAAGAAGGCCUUCGGGUUGUAAAGCACUUUUGUCCGGAAAGAAAUCCUUGGCUCUAAUACAGUCGGGGGAUGACGGUACCGGAAGAAUAAGCACCGGCUAACUACGUGCCAGCAGCCGCGGUAAUACGUAGGGUGCAAGCGUUAAUCGGAAUUACUGGGCGUAAAGCGUGCGCAGGCGGUUUGCUAAGACCGAUGUGAAAUCCCCGGGCUCAACCUGGGAACUGCAUUGGUGACUGGCAGGCUAGAGUAUGGCAGAGGGGGGUAGAAUUCCACGUGUAGCAGUGAAAUGCGUGAGAUGUGGAGGAAUACCGAUGGCGAAGGCAGCCCCCUGGGCCAAUACUGACGCUCAUGCACGAAAGCGUGGGGAGCAAACAGGAUUAGAUACCCUGGUAGUCCACGCCCUAAACGAUGUCAACUAGUUGUUGGGGAUUCAUUUCCUUAGUAACGUAGCUAACGCGUGAAGUUGACCGCCUGGGGAGUACGGUCGCAAGAUUAAAACUCAAAUGAAUUGACGGGGUCAUAGCUGUUUCCU